GCAAGUCGAACGAACUCUGGUAUUGAUUGGUGCUUGCAUCAUGAUUUACAUUUGAGUGAGUGGCGAACUGGUGAGUAACACGUGGGAAACCUGCCCAGAAGCGGGGGAUAACACCUGGAAACAGAUGCUAAUACCGCAUAACAACUUGGACCGCAUGGUCCGAGUUUGAAAGAUGGCUUCGGCUAUCACUUUUGGAUGGUCCCGCGGCGUAUUAGCUAGAUGGUGGGGUAACGGCUCACCAUGGCAAUGAUACGUAGCCGACCUGAGAGGGUAAUCGGCCACAUUGGGACUGAGACACGGCCCAAACUCCUACGGGAGGCAGCAGUAGGGAAUCUUCCACAAUGGACGAAAGUCUGAUGGAGCAACGCCGCGUGAGUGAAGAAGGGUUUCGGCUCGUAAAACUCUGUUGUUAAAGAAGAACAUAUCUGAGAGUAACUGUUCAGGUAUUGACGGUAUUUAACCAGAAAGCCACGGCUAACUACGUGCCAGCAGCCGCGGUAAUACGUAGGUGGCAAGCGUUGUCCGGAUUUAUUGGGCGUAAAGCGAGCGCAGGCGGUUUUUUAAGUCUGAUGUGAAAGCCUUCGGCUCAACCGAAGAAGUGCAUCGGAAACUGGGAAACUUGAGUGCAGAAGAGGACAGUGGAACUCCAUGUGUAGCGGUGAAAUGCGUAGAUAUAUGGAAGAACACCAGUGGCGAAGGCGGCUGUCUGGUCUGUAACUGACGCUGAGGCUCGAAAGUAUGGGUAGCAAACAGGAUUAGAUACCCUGGUAGUCCAUACCGUAAACGAUGAAUGCUAAGUGUUGGAGGGUUUCCGCCCUUCAGUGCUGCAGCUAACGCAUUAAGCAUUCCGCCUGGGGAGUACGGCCGCAAGGCUGAAACUCAAAGGAAUUGACGGGGGCCCGCACAAGCGGUGGAGCAUGUGGUUUAAUUCGAAGCUACGCGAAGAACCUUACCAGGUCUUGACAUACUAUGCAAUCUAAGAGAUUAGACGUUCCCUUCGGGGACAUGGAUACAGGUGGUGCAUGGUUGUCGUCAGCUCGUGUCGUGAGAUGUGGGGUUAAGUCCCGCAACGAGCGCACCUAUAUCAGUUGCCAGCAUUAAGUUGGGCACUCUGGUGAGACUGCCGGUGACAAACCGGAGGAAGGUGGGGAUGACGUCAAAUCAUCAUGCCCCUUAUGACCUGGGCUACACACGUGCUACAAUGGAUGGUACAACGAGUUGCGAACUCGCGAGAGUAAGCUAAUCUCUUAAAGCCAUUCUCAGUUCGGAUUGUAGGCUGCAACUCGCCUACAUGAAGUCGGAAUCGCUAGUAAUCGCGGAUCAGCAUGCCGCGGUGAAUACGUUCCCGGGCCUUGUACACACCGCCCGUCACACCAUGAGAGUUUGUAACACCCAAAGUCGGUGGGGUAACCUUUUAGGAA
rnacentral:rRNA from 1 species